CGCACCCCCACCUCCUUCCCUUCCCCCGCAAUCAGUCCCGCGUUGCUGCAAGGUGGGGGGUUCAGGGCGGCGAACUCCUGGGCUGGGCGUAGGAAACCCGGUUGGGGGAACGGGGUCCCAAAUUCGGGGCACGUGCACAUGGGUGAAGGAGCUGUUGAAAAUACAGCCAAAAAUCUUUUUCUGCUCUCCUCUCCCAACUCAUACUGCCCCCUCCCUACCUUUGAACAGUCGCCUUCCAACACAAGCAACAAUAAAGGACACUCACCCUUGGAACCCAGCCACGAUGUUGUUAGGAGGCCAAGCAGCCACAUGGAAAGGUCAUGUGUGACUACGAAGGUCAAAUAAGCCAAGGUAUUCACGAAGAACUUUUGUAAAGGAGAAGCACUGUAUAAAUAUGGGUACCUGCUGACUCUGUGUCUUCAGAAGCCACUUUCAUCUCCUUGGAUGAAAGCUAUGGGGUGAAGUUUUUAUUGGCUAGUGAAAGGGACAAAUUUUGGUCUUCAGACCGCCGGCGGAAAGAUCCAUGGACUUCCCAAACUGGAGUGGAAGGAAGGAGAACAAAACGGGGCUGCUGUAUGAUGGGGAUCUGUCCUCCUCCUUCCCCUGGAUGAGGGGGCUCACGCAGGAGGAGGUUACGUGGCUGCCCGGGGCAGGGAGGCUCCCUUACCCCCUGCUCCCCAGUAACACUCAACCUCUCCUGGCUUUUUCCUAACGCUACAUCCUCACCAGGGCACCAUUGGCCAGGCAUGUGCCACAGAUGACCCUGUGGAGGCAGCUGUCCCCCCGUGGGCCACCCGUCAUGGCUGCUUCUUCGCCUCUGCUAGCUUCCUUCUUCGUCUGCUGGUGGCCUCCACUUACCCUGCCUUAAGCCCACCCCUCUGGCCUCCUCCCCCUCCUCCUGAGGUCUCAUCUCAUACCUCUUCCACUUUCCUGCUUUGGGGCUUGAAGUAGACCAACAUCCAAGAUUUGAAAGAGAAAGAAAGCCCAUGUUCACCCUCUCAUCCAAAGUCCCUCAGCUGUUACCUCCAAAGAAGCUGUGAUUUUGCUGGUCCUAGACAAGAAUUGCAAAGCACCGUUUCGUCCUGAACUGCCAGCUCUGCAUGCCCUGACCUUGGACCUGGCGUGUUCGACGGCUCCUGCAUGGGACCCUAGCCUCUACCUGCUGCUUCCUCCCAGGAGGUUUCCUCCAGAGCCUGCAAGGUGCUUGGGAAGAGUUGUCUGAAUUAGGGCUAUGGGUGGAGGCAGUCCUGGGAGAGGACUCAGGCUGGUAAUAGUGGUGUCCAUGACCCCUGGCGUCUUUGCUCCCAUAGUGGGCCACCCCGGUCAGCCUCCUUGUGGCCUGAGCAUCCCAAAUGUUGCUUCUCAGGAACUUAAGGGCUCCUUUCUCUAUCUGAUUUGCCCUUUCCUAGCCAACCAGAGUCCAACCAGAGCUGGCUGACUCCCAGAUUCACACAAAGGGAUAUGGGGAGAGACCUGAGCUUCCCACUCUGGGCUGGCCCUGGGGAGGUGGGACCUCAGCCCAGGUCUGUUUGUCCCAGGAGGCUGUACACAAUCCUGAUACUGGGCACGGCCACUGCAAAGAAGGCUGGGUGCAGCCCAUGCUCCUUCCUGCUCUUUCAAGUUCUAGAAAAGCUCAGUAAAUAUUAGAGGAGGCAGGUUAUCAGGCUAACCGCUGAAUAGCCAGGUGGUUAUGUAAUUGAACUUUGGCUCUGCUCCAUCUCCACAGACAGAAAAUGGAUUCUUGCAGCCUUGGGGGCAUGGAGCCCUGCUGCAGGUUCCCUCCUUUCCCUUCCGGCCUCAGCCAGAUUUCUUUGGACCUCUUGAAACAGGUCCUGAGACCACCGUUUGGUAAGAUGGCCAAGGGAGGAAGGAAGGAUUAAAACCAGAGAAGGGAAGGGGGAGGAGAUGAUGAAGCUGGAGUCUCCAAGAAUCAAAAUGUUAAAAAUGU